UUUUUUUAAUCAUUAGCCUUAUGCAGCUCUCAAAGCUAGAGAAUAUCUUGAUAAGCCUGCAAUACAUGAGACAAUGGUGAAGGUAUGUAGAUUAUAUCUUAUAUUUCCUACACAAAUAUAGACAACUGUAUGCUGAUGUCAUUAUGCAGGUUAGCGCUUAUCUGCUUGGAGAAUACAACCAUCUUUUGGCCAGACGACCUGGGUGUAGCCCAAAGGACAUUUUUGUCAUUAUACAUGAGAAGCUUCCUACUGUAUCGACUCCAACAAUAUCCAUUCUUCUCUCAACAUACGCAAAGAUUUUGAUGCACUCUCAACCACCAGAUCCCGAAUUACAAAACUAGAUCUGGGCAAUAUUCAGCAAAUAUGAAACAUGCAUUGAUACUGAGAUACAACAAAGAGCUGUACAGCUAUUCAUUUUCAAUAGCACACUUGCAAAAAUUUUAAACUUUUAAAACCCAUCUUAGAAGGACUAAAGGUUAGAAAGGAGAAGUAAUGAAGCUAUGAGUUGAGAAAAGAGUAAUCACAGCAAGGUCUCUAAAACAGACCUGCUGUUCAAAAUGGAUUUACUCCAAAAUCUAAAACAGAAACAUAGCUUUAACUAAAUUUUAUAGGAAACUAUGAUUAUUCAGGAUUCCAGAACUAUAAAGAACUCCUUCUAACUCCAAAGGAUGAAUUAAAUAUGAAUUUUACAAAAAGGUGUAUCACUUCUGUCUCCAACAAGACAGUCAAGUGAGGUUGGCCAAUUCUACCCAACUUGUAAGUAGAAUUCGUCCAUACCAAAAUUCAGAGAAGUAAAGGACAUACAAAUGAAAGUCUCAGAGUUGGAAUUGAAUGAAAAGCAUUUCCCAAGCUCCGGAUAUAAAAUUCACAUUGUGGACAAUCACAACACUAGU